CAAGCCCUCAAUGGACUUGAAAGCACUUGUCAGUCUCUCCUCAGCUACAGUGUUAGCACGUAGCCUUGGAAGGCAUGAGAAUGCACUGCCCUUCUGCCCAUUUUCUUUGCCCAGCUCUAUUAGCAGCUCACCUCUAGUUCCAGUUUUCACACAAUAGAAGUUUACCUUCAGAGGUCCAAGUGUGAGGUCAAGCUUUGGAUUGCCGGAAAUGGUGAUGUCCUUUUCUGUCUGAACACCCAGACAACACUUAAUGAAGCAUCCUAUUUUGUAGACCGUGCUCCGGAGUGCACAUAAUAGAUAAGCUACUGAGUUCCACAAGACCCCGCACUUCCUGGAGGAAAGAAGACUGAAGAACUCAAAUUACAUGUUGCACUGCCGGCAAGUGAUUGAGUGAAAAAUGGGGCCCAGGACUGUUUGACUCCAAAGAUCAAGAACCAAGAUGAAUGAAAUGGACCAGGACACUGGCUCUGAUUUUGACAAAUUCUUUGAGGAAACUUCCUGAAUCUCCAGAGGCCUCUCUAAAGCUUAGUUUCCACAUCUGUAAAAUGGAGACCAAUAAUGUUAUGACUCGUUUCCAGCACAAUGCAUUUAAAACUUAUGACAUAAUCCCCAGCAAUUUGUAGAUGUGCAACAAAUGCUAGUUUUCUCUUUUCACAAAGAUAAAGGGAAGCACUCUUUUCCACUUUUAGUAUAUUCUAAUAUUACAGAGCAGAUUCUGUAUAUAUACAAGUCCAACUCCACCACUUCCUUUGGACAAGUGAUAUAACCUCUGUUUGCUUCAGUUUUCUUAUCUGAAAAUUGGGAUAACAAUUGUACCUAGUUAUAGGCUGCUGUGAAUAUUAAAUGAAUCAAUAAGGAUAGAGUGCUUAGAACUUUGCCUGGCAUAGAGUAGGAGCUAAAUGAAUGUAAGCUAUUAUCUUUAUUAUCUGCUUAGUCAAAUGAAAUUUUCAGGCUCAAGUUUCAAGGCAAUCUUCCCUUGGAUGAUGCGUGAGAUACACUGACCACUUCUUGAUUUUUGCUUCUCUUUUUCUAGAUCCUAUACAGACCUUUUCCUUCUGUUGAUAUAUUUAAUACUCACAGCCACACAAUCCAGAUUUUGCUUAAUUAGGUCAAGGUUUCCUCCUGUUAUUAUAAUUGAUUAAAUUUAUGCAAGGUUUACCCUUUUCCUUCUUAUGGGGUGUGCAUGUGUUUGUGCAUUGUGUGUGUGUGUGUGUUGUGGACCUGUGAUAUGGUUUUACAGCUACUCUGGCCAACAUGGGUGCAGACACAUCUUUUCAGACAUCUGUUUUCUGACUAGUCUUUUGGGGGGUCAUUUCUACCGAUUUUUGCCUCUAUUAUGUGACAUUUGACUAGCAUAUCUCUCAAAAGGUGAAUGUUGCACUAUGCUUGGUGGGAAUGGGAUGACCUAAGCUCUUCCAAAUAUGUGACAAUAGAAACAUUAUCGGGGGGUUUGGGAGAGGGAGCCAAUGAUUCAGAGAUAGAGACAAUCCACACGGCCAUGUUUUCCAAUGUAUAUGAGGAUCUAAUCAGUGCACAGGGAGCAGUGGGUUCCAAAUGGGAAUAUUACUCUCAGAUCAUAGAGACUGUGUCAGAAAGCAUUUCCCCGUCAAGCUGGAGAAAAUAAAAAAUCCAUCCAAAGUAGAUGCAAUGUACCCUCUGCAGCAGUAACCUAAGAAAUAAUUUCAAAAUGUGCUGUCAUUAAGAACAAGAUGUACCUUCUAUUUAGUCAUGGGCAUCAGGGUGUUUCUCAAGUUGCAUCAAAGUGGUCAUGGUGUGUACCCUAGGAAAAUGGGACAGUAACAUUGUAACACACCUGUAUGGUAAUGUUGUAUUAUAAAAAGAAAAAAAAAUGGAAUUAAGGAAAUGGAAUUUGGAAAAAUGAAUACCAAAGAGUAGGGCCUUCUCACUGGAACAGCCAGCAGUUGUCAGAUUAGAAGGCUGAAUCUGAGAGCAGUCCAUGAUUUUCUGGAUAGAAAAAUCUAGUGAGGGAUAGGACAAUCUACUCAGAUACUCUGCCUUACUGAAAGUAUUGCUUCAGAGCAUCUGCCUUCUGAGUGCCCACACCCAGCAGGAGGGAGUGAUUUGUGCCUAUAAUCAGGUUAGAUGAAGCCUGGGGGAUGGGGGUAGAGCAGAUCACACAGGGCCUUGUAGGCCAUGCUAAGAAUUUUGGGGGGUUGGAAAGCCAUUCAUGUGUUUCAAACAAGGAAGCUAAAGAAAAUGUGGUGCUAGUCGUAGAAUUAUAAAAUACAAAAUCUGGAAGUUAUUGAAAAAUUAUCUAGUUGAAUAAUUUUAAAUUAAAAAGACAGCCACUUGCUUUCCAUUCACCAAAGCCUUGGAAGCACCCAAGAAUUAUAGAAACAUAAAGAAUUUAUGAUGUUACCCUUUAAAAAUGACUUUGUUAGCACUGAAAACCCAACUGACCAUUUUUGUUUUAGGCCUGCAAUCAAUAAGGGAGAGGGCAACUCUCCUUAUCUGCUUCACACUUGGAAGGGAGGUGUAAGGUAGCGAGAGCGUUUUAUAACCCCCUGGAAAUCCAAGGUGAUAAGUGCCAUUAUUUGAACACUUCCCUUUUUGUUCUAUUAUCUCACAAUCCAUUUAUUGACAACUUUGUGAUAAGGUCUAAUGCCUCUUUACUUCAUUAUUGACAUUAUAAAAGCCCACUAAGUGAUAUUUCAUUAAUGAACUGGAAUUUGCCGCCUUAAAAAAAUUGAAGUCUCUAUUUCUAAUGAACAAUCUUUAAUUCUUAGGAGACCAUAUUUACAAAACUGUAAUGACUAUGUUUAAAGAUGAUGAAUAAGGAUAUUGGGGUAGGUUCUGGAAGGUUGUUAAUUUUGUUCAAUGACAGAAAAGGAGAGCUUUCUUUCCACUUUUUAGUUUAAGUCUUUCCCUUUACAUUUUGGUGCCAGGGUAAAAAAUAUACCAACUAACAGAGAAACAAACAUGUAGUCCCAAGCUCAUUAAAUAUCAUCUAAAGUUGACAUGAAAAAAAAUUUCUAGUUUCUGGAAAAAUUGACUCAUUUAAUUAAACGCAAUGGAAAGGUUACUCUGUGAUUAAGUGUUUGAACUAAAAAAGAAUCAUAAUAAUUUCCAAUAAUGUUACAUAAAUUUUUAGUUAAAUUCUGACUCCAAAACUCAUAUCAAGUUUCAACAAAACAAAUAUCACCAAGGGCAAAUCUUUUAUUAUCAACUGCUAAUGCUUGAUGCUAACAAACAUGAGUUUGAUCCCUAUGAUGGUUAGGUUCAUGUGUCAACUUGGCCAGGUGAUGGUAUCUAGCUGUCUGGUCAAGCAAGCACUGGCCUAACCGUUGCUGCAAGAACGUUUGUGGCUGGUUAAUAAACCA